rnacentral:sRNA from 1 species
UUGGCGGGAUCCCUCGCGGGU